rnacentral:rRNA from 1 species
UACGGAGGGGGCUAGCGUUGUUCGGAAUUACUGGGCGUAAAGCGCGCGUAGGCGGACAAGCAAGUCGGGGGUGAAAGCCCGAGGCUCAACCUCGGAACUGCCUUCGAUACUGCGGGUCUCGAGUCCGGGAGAGGUGAGUGGAAUUCCUAGUGUAGAGGUGAAAUUCGUAGAUAUUAGGAAGAACACCAGUGGCGAAGGCGGCUCACUGGCCCGGUACUGACGCUGAGGCGCGAAAGCGUGGGGAGCAAACAGG